rnacentral:rRNA from 1 species
AGAAUCAACGCUGGCGGCGUGCCUAACACAUGCAAGUCGAACGAGAAAGUGGAGCAAUCCAUGAGUAAAGUGGCGCACGGGUGAGUAACACGUGACUAACCUACCCUUGAGUGGGGAAUAACUUCGGGAAACCGAGGCUAAUACCGCAUAACACCUACGGGUCAAAGGAGCAAUUCGCUUAAGGAGGGGGUCGCGGCAGAUUAGUUAGUUGGCAGGGUAAUGGCCUACCAAGACGGUGAUCUGUAUCCGGCCUGAGAGGGCGCACGGACACACUGGAACUGAAACACGGUCCAGACUCCUACGGGAGGCAGCAGUGGGAAUUUUGCGCAAUGGGGGAAACCCUGACGCAGCAACGCCGCGUGGAGGAUGAAGUCCCUUGGGACGUAAACUCCUUUCGAUCGGGACGAUUAUGACGGUACCGGAAGAAGAAGCCCCGGCUAACUUCGUGCCAGCAGCCGC